UACGUAGGGCGCAAGCGUUGUCCGGAAUUAUUGGGCGUAAAGAGCUCGUAGGCGGUUUGUCGCGUCUGUCGUGAAAGCUUGGGGCUUAACCCCAAGUCUGCGGUGGAUACGGGCAGACUUGAGUACUGCAGGGGAGACUGGAAUUCCUGGUGUAGCGGUGAAAUGCGCAGAUAUCAGGAGGAACACCGGUGGCGAAGGCGGGUCUCUGGGCAGUAACUGACGCUGAGGAGCGAAAGCGGGGGGAGCGAACAGG
rnacentral:rRNA from 1 species